GCUGCAGUUUUCUAGUCGCAGUGCGGCAAAGCAGACGCAUAGAACCAGGCACAAAGCAGCAUAGAUUUUUUUUAUUCUUGUCUUUUUCGUACGAGGGAAUUUUUCCUGGUGUUAGCGUAGGAACAGACACACAGCCUGGAUGUGUUGGCUUCAGCCUGGCAGCAUUUUCAGCUGAGCAGGGACUGCUCGGAGCUCUGUACCCAAACUGCCUCUGAGGAAGAACGCCUGGUUUCCCACUUUGUGUACUAAGAGGGGUUUUUUUUAUGCCACGGCGAUAUACCUGCAGCGAUAGGACAAAGGAGAUGGUACUUGUCACUGUUUGUACGACUGGGGCCUUUGCAGGCACUCCACUGCCGAAGCUGUGCCAGCGUCCCAGGGUCAUAUAGAUUGGUAACACAGAUUGCCGCAAUUUCUUACAUCACUUAGAGCAAAGCUCAAACGAGAAACCAGACUCUCUGACCUAAAUCAAUCCCCAGUCCUUCUGGAUACAGGGCAGCAGUCGACUAGCAAUGACACAACCAGCCAUCAAGUGGAGAGUCUCUGGGAUUGCAAUCUGUAUCAGUUGGAGUCUGAGAGAAUGAAACCCUUUUGGUUAUCCAGUCGCUUCUCCUUCUUCUCAUACUGCAAUUACUACAACUACUUCUACUACUUCUGGUUUUUCUUGCCUGUAAGAAGCUAUUAAUUGUGCUUGGUCUCUGAGCGUAUAUUUGCGUGGAUUAGUCUGUCUAUAACGCAGUCCUUAUCUGCUCCUGCUGGAAAUCAGGGCACGAAGUCAGCCUGCUUUAACAGUUGUUUCUUUCUGCGUGAUGCUAUGCAACUAGAAUGGGUUACACUGACAACAAAGGAACAAGCACAAAGCACCACUUUCAUUGCUGGACUGUUACAGGAACAUAACUCUUCUUCGAUAUGAUGCCCUGGUCUCUUCUCUUUGCUGUUUUUUGUUUUGUUUUGUUUUUUCUUUAAUUCAUCUAAUUGAAGAGCCUAACAGACACCAUCGUGGAUGUGGUUUUUAAUGAUUUGGAAAAGACAGCCUGUGGAGACUGCGAUUUGAGACAGCAACUCAUUUAGGUUAUUGCCAAUUUGAAAUACUUGGUUUGUGAAGCGCAGCCCUAAGGGACGAGCUCAGUAACUGAGAAAGAGAUUGUAGAUAAAGAAAUAAAAAUGACAAGCGUAAUGGAGGCUCUGCAAAAGAGACUGUCAGAGAAUCAGUUCAUGGAUGGCAAUUUCACCAGUCUGAAUCUGAAUAAUUCAUAGAUUGAAAUUACCCUGCUUUCACCUUUCCAUUUAAACCGGCAUGAUCUGAAUCUCUAAUAAAUUUUCAAGAUAAAGUAAAAUGCCAAUUUGAAUCUGAAGAGCUUUUAAAACCAGAUGCUACACCCUGAAUCUUUCGAUACUUUUCACAAUUAUUCUGUGAGAACCGCACUUCAUCACGAAGCACCAUUACCAGUGAAAAUUACUGUGAUUACAAUAGCAACAAUAGAAUACCAUCAAAUGAUCUCUAAUUUACCUAAUUUACCAAGGCUGACUGUGUGCCCAUUGUGUUUCACUACGUCUGGCAUUGGAUCAAUAUCACAGUGGAACAAAAAUGCCUUAGUGUGUGCUUCCUUUUGGUACCUUUAACUUUGACAGCACAGGAAAAAUCUAUCUACUGUUAAAUGUUUUUACAGCCAGUCUACAUGCCUGCUGUAGGAUCUGAUUGAUUCUCCAUGAUUUUCUUUAGUUCCUGGGUACUGGAUGUCAUUGUGUUACUAAUUUGUUUGUAACGUAGGCUCAUGCACAAAGACUGCAGCAGACGAGUACCAACAGAGAGACCCUGCACUGCUGCUGCAGUAGCAGCGCUCUCGCAGGGGAAGCCAAAACCAGUUCGGUGCCUUAUGUGAAUAAUUACUUGUGUCUGAGUUUUACAAAUGCUCUCUGGCAUCACCGGUCUUGGUUGUACUACAUGAAAAAUGUAUGCAAAAGCCAUGGUCAAGAAAAACGAUCGUGUGUAAUACUAACAAGAUUUUUUCCCUAUUCAGCAAUUAGCAUGUGGUUGUGAGAGACAGGCUGCGAGUCCUUCUGUAGAUGUGUGUAUGUAGGUACGCAUGCACAGACAUAAACGUAAAGAUACCGUGCUUUGCGAGUAUGUGCUGAUCACUGAAAGUAACAACUUUUUCUGACAAGCCAGGUGCAGUGUUUUGCCACAAUCUGCUCGGUUGUAACAAAUCCCUGUCUUGGAGGUGUAAAACUCCUCUAUAGGAUGAUGCGUGACUUCUGGAACAGUAAGUACCAUUUAAGCAAUAUGUUGGUGCCUAUAGCUGUGAUACAGAUCAGUAUUUUAAGCAUAGUUCGAGUCCUUGUAGCAUAACUACAAUGUGGAGAAGUGAGAAAGAUAUAAAGAAGGCUAGAAACAGGCAUUCUUCAUGGAGACGACUGUAUCUGCUGUCUGUAUGCGAGUUGUACACUUCAGGCUUGUUUUUUCAUUUUAUAACCAGAUUUACUCUGCCUUCAGGGAAUAUUUUCUAAGGAAGGAAGGUAAGCAGUAUUUCUUCUUAUUUCUAUGACCGUAUUGCAUUUCUUUUGGGGAAAAUGCAUGUUUAUAGCACGUAGUUACAUAACAUAGCAUGAUCUCAUGACAUCUAAUUAAGUGUUUCAGUAUUUGUUCACAUUAAAACCGGGCAAGAAAGCAUAUUUAAAAUAUGGCUUCUUAUUCAAAAUACACUCAUAGAAAUGCUACACAGAAAAAGAAUUUAAAGAUUGGGUUUGUAUUCAGCUUGGACUCUUUAAUGUUAUUAAAUAAGAGUUUAUUCUACCUAAAUAAUAAUGUUCUUGAAACCUUUGGAUUUUAGAUAUUUUGUCUUCGUAAAACACAAUUUACUGUACUUCUAAAUUUCCUGUAUAUGAGUGGAGACUGGUCUCUAGAGGUAGAAGAGGCAGAAGGUUUUACAGCUUGAGCUGUGAUAACAAAGGAAUUUGAAAGGGCACAAAAUACGAUUAUACAAAAAUCUUGAAUUUUAAAUCAUUCAGUAAUGUGAUUUAGCAAACUGUUUUGCUUAGGCAACAUACUCGCAAGUUAUUACACUAUCUGGAAUUAAUCAGUCCAUUCAGUGCUGCUAUAUUUAUAUCCUUCAUUUUCACAUGGUAUUCAAAACUUAACAAAGAGAAAUCCUUGCACACAGCAAAGACUGAAACUCUGGUGAAAGUGUAAAACCUACAUUCUGUUAUUGUGGUAAUAAAUCAAGAGAUUCAGAUCAAACUUUUCUGAAGAGAAGUAGGUGUUUUGGCUUAAUUGUUUUAUGAUGAGCAUUUUAUGGUUUUGUGUACACAAAUAUAACACAGACUGAUAUAACUACUAUACUGCAAGGAUCAUGCAAACAGGAAUGUGAAUGAUUUGCAAAAUACCUUACAAAUACCUGCUAGCAUUUACAUUAUUAUUAUUACUACCAUAACCUUCUAGUAUCAUAUACUGCUUUGAAAUCGUAGUCUGUUAAGCAUUUUGAUUCUGUAGAGUAUUUGCAUUCAGAUUUUUUUUUAUCAGUGUUAUCUCCCGCAGCAGUCUGUAGAGAGUGGCUGGUCAUGGGGUGUUAGAUGUCCUCAUUAACAACUGCAGAGCAGAUCUAAUAUGGAGUUAAAUGCUCCUGACGUCUUCAUUUAAGGCCCCGAUCCAAAUCAGACUGCAGAUCCACUCUGGAGUCCUCUAACUUACUCUGUGUUGGUAUCAUUGAAUUUUGAAUGUGCCACUGGCUUUCUCCCACUGCUCCAUACUGGCUUCACAUUUCAAAAUAUGCAGUGCUGGUCAGGCCUAAUACUGUUUCUCAAUGUAAGUCACUGCAGUAGUUGCCAGAGGAUGUUAUGACAGUGCCCUCAGGAGGUGAGGCUAUCUGCGAGACUCUGUUACCAAGUACUCUGAAAAAGUUUGAAAACCUCCGGAAGUAAACUCUGCCAUUUGGGCUGCCGUGGGUUUCAAAGAAGGCAGGAUUGCAAGCUGCCGGCAGGAGAGAUUGCACAAGCAAAUGGGGAGAAAAGCAUUAAAACCUUUUCAGCCACAGGAUCAUGAAGUGAAUAUUAGCAAUAUUACCUCAUAAAAAGCAUUAAAAUAUAGUCAACUGUAUCAUCAAUGCAUUUUCUGACAUGGCUGUAGCUAAUCAGGUGCAACUACAGCUAAACUGUUUAAGCUGUAUAAUUGUAUGUGCUGAAAUAAGUAGCAGACUUGCAAUAUUAAAUUUCUAACAUAAAGCCACUAAUUUUAGCAAUAGUGAUUCAACAGUUAAUCUACAUUGUAUUACAAGAUAUAUUAGUCUGGUUUUGUGCUUAUAUGUUUCCACUGUGUUACACUUGUCUAUAAAUGAAUCUGCAAUGGCAAAAUAAGGGCCAAAUAACUUCUUUACAUGCCUUAUUCAUCCGAGUAAAAUUCCCUCUAUGCGUUUGAUGGGCCCACGGCCUCAUGUGCAGCUAGACAGUGAUCACAUGAUGCAGUUGUACAUGUGAAGAACAUCCUGGAGCCCGUUCUACUGCCACUGAAGUCAAUAGCAAGACUCCCUGUGCCAUCAGCAUAAAAGAUGGAUGAAUUACUUUCCUUCCAUUACAGCCCCCCUGUGAAAGCUGUUCCUGGUUGGUUUUUUUUUUUUUUUUCCUUUUUUUCUUCUUGAUCGUAAGAGUCUGGUAUAGUUGACAUAACAUUGAACAGAAGGUGCUUUCUAUUCAUCAGGACACAUGACCUGAGCUAAACAUACACAGAAACCAGCAACUCAGGAUACAUUUAUUUGCAAAUUGACGGGACCUUCUUGACUGUAGUUGUGUUGAUAGUAUUUGUGCUCGCUAGCUUGACAAUUCUGCAUUCUUAUCAGCUGCUAUAAAACACACAAGUUCUGAUCUGUAAUGGUUGUAUCUAUUUGGACAAGAGCCCUGAGGAUAGGAGGAUCUGUUGUGGGUUUGGUGCUUUUUUUUUUUUUUUUUCACCUUACAGUUGCUGUGAACGAAUUGUAACUGCCUCUGGAAAUGUGAUCCCCUAAGAAUGCAGAGAAAUGCAUUAUUGAUAAGUAUGUAUAAAGUAUCUCUAGAUUCCUCUGCACUCUGGCUGCUGUGAAUUUCAAACCAUUAUUCCCAGGCAAAAAUGUUAGGAGGAGGAAAGUAAGGCUGAAGUAAUUUGGAAGGAUAACAGCAGCAUUUCCAAACCAACCAUUUCGAUGCAGGAAAUUCAGAGUUAAACAGAAGAAAAUCCAAAUGGGUUCAUAGAAACAAUUAAAAUACCUAAGCAGUUUACUCCCUUUUUGGUGCCUUGUGAUAACUGCAGGAUGCGAUAGAGGUAAAUGAUUUUGCCAUUUCAGUUUAUAUUAUAUAGAUACAAUCAAAAAACACCUCUGGCUUUAGAAGUAUUCGCAUCUCAUUUCACAGUAUCAGUUCAGUUUCUUUAUGGAUUAUAAACAUACACCUGCUCCGUGCUUUUAGCUGCACAACUGUAACGUAACCAAAAGUGCUGAAAAUGGAAUGAUUUCUGACCGACCGAAAGGGGGAAAUUAAUCCCAAAAGGGGAAUUGCAGUGGAGGCAAUGGGUUGCCCAGGUCUCAUGCCAACAGAGCUUCUUGUGGAGGGUUUUCCAGAUCAGGUUAAACUCCUCAUGGUGUUAGAAUUUGUCUUAAUGAACGCAAAGUUAAAAAUGAGUGGGAAUUCAAAAUAUGGCCCCGUUUGUGCCUGAAAACUUGCCCUUUGUUUAAAAACCACAUUUGAUACUAUUUCUCUCACGGCUCUUGUCUCAAAGUUUACCAGGGAAUUGAAUCCAAAAGCAUAUUUGCAACAAUAUAGCUCAUCCAUAGCUAGUCAUGCAUAGCCAAGCACACGCAAUGAAUUAGCACCUGUGCAAAAUGCUAAAUUGGGAAAUGCUGUUAAAAUGGAAAAAAAAAAAAAAAAAAGAAAAAAUUAUAGACUGUAGGAUUGCCGUUGAGCUGGUUACUUAUACUGAGUCUUUCACAGAGAUUGCGCAGAAGCGAACGUACGGUUCAAUUCUAGUCGGUCGCGCCCAGCAAAAGGUUCGGCAGAGAAGCCGUGUCCCGCGCUCAGGCGUUUGUGUUUCCUCUGCCGCCCCCGCUGGUUCCAGAGGCGCCUCCCGCGGCGCAGCAGCCGCAGCGGCCUCCCCUCCCACCUGCGGGCGGGCAUCCCGGUGGAGCUGAUAGCUGUGGACUGCUGACUGGUACACUAAGCAGGUAACCUGAAGCCCGAGUGGUUACAGGCGUAUUGGAUCCCACACCUUGGCAGAGGAUUAUUUCUGCAUAUGUUCCAGGACAGCUCAGCACUGAAGACAUACAAGGAAAAAAAAAAAUCUUGAUUCUGCAACAAUUUGUUUGGAUCCACUGAAGAUUUCAAGGAUUUCUUAAAGUCUUUAAGGAGCAAGACAAGCAAAUUGAUCAGGAUAAAGCUAAGUUUCAAGUCUUUGCUUGUCUAGACGUAAAGCCUCUUUGAAUAAAAUGGAGCAAGGGGUAAGACACGGAAGUCUUUUAAAACAAGAAUUCCAUUCAUUUGUGCAUUACUGUAAUUAUACUACUGUCUUAAAUGCUCUGAGGUUGACGGUGCUUGUGACCUUUCCAGUAUGUUUCAUAAGGGGGACAGUAUAACCUUGCACUGCCCCAAAACAGAACUGAGCCUUUCCAUCUAUUAAAGCUCUCUUAGGCAAUUCACUGAACACCAUAAUGGCUCCUUUAUAGCCAUUGUACUUGUACUUGAUAGCGUAGGGCGCAUUCCAAGGAAAAUGGGGAUCGUUCCUGCAUUUUGCCUACUUAGUGUUGUUGUACAGCUUGAUGUAAAAGCUGAUAACAAAAUAGAUGGUGUGUUUUGUUAGUAGGGCCCAGCCUAACAACCACACUAAUAAUAUCGUAAUUAUACCAGGGAUGCAAGUUUGCUUUUAAACACAUUUUCCCUGGCAUCUCCAAUAUGUGAGUUUAGAAAAAAAAGUAUUUUUUCAAGUUUUAAUUUCCUCCAGAAGCAUAUAAUAACUCACUGCCUUUUCCUCUCCUUCAGGUUGGCUCUCAUUGCCACAGAUAGAGCUACAAGUACCUAUCUUUUGGCUGAAGUUUUCUUGCCUGCUGAACUGUCAGAGCCUUUUGGGGGACAUUUCAGUUAGCAUGCCUCGUGCAACAGCAUGCCCAGUUCCCAUAUAUCUGUAGGUCAUUAUUAACGUGUACUGCAUUUCACAAAAGAGUUCUGGAUGGUACUUGUCCCAGAGAGCUUGGUCAGAAGGAAACUGUAAACCCUGGGCUCUCCAGAAGGCCAGCGUUCCUCUGGUCCUGCUCCAAAAUACCGCAGCGGGUGGCUGAGCACCCCAUGCCACGUCGUCCCACGCAGCACGCGACACGGCAGCUGCUGGGGCAUCGCUAGGUGAUGCACUAGUCUCUGCCCUGCGGGUGAAGUUACUGACGCUCGCCAGCUGCUAGUUGUGCGGAUGAACCUGAACACCUUCCUCUUACCUUCGAAAAGACAAAUAUUGCAAAUCAUAACAAUUAUACCAAUAAACAAAGGGAAUGUAUUAAGAGAAAAAGUAACAUCUUCGUUUUUAAACUUUGCUCAGAACAACUUGAAAAAGGUAGACAAUCACAUCGUCCUAAAUGAAACAAAAAAUAAUUGGGGAAAAAACCCCAUCCACAGGCAUAGUAUUCGAAGAAGGCCAGGAAAGACAUCUGACCUGUCAUUUGAGUCCUUCUGUAUCAAACAAAUACAUUAACAGUAACUGUAAUGAAAUUAGACUUAUUAUGCAUACAUGAGCAAUAAAAAAAACAAACAAGAAAUCCACUCUGGCAGUGAUCAAGUUUAAGAAAAAUAAAGUGGAAGCUUAUAAAAGAUGUAUCAAAAGUGACAAGCCCAAGAGGAAGAUACUUCCCAGCAGCUUGAAGUCUCAGAGUAAAUACUUUAGAAAAAGCUGCCAUGGUUAAACAAAGGAAGUUUAUUAAAAAUAAUACAUUCCUCAAGAAGUUGACGGUGAAAAUAGGACAUAAAACAUAAACACAUCGUAUGCCCAAGAAGACAUCGACGGCCAUCAAAAACCUGUGUUAAUCCUUUCCUGUAGCAAGCAGGUCACCAGUCAAAGAAUUAGCAGGAGCAGUAGAUUGCUAAGACAUAAAAGGAGCACACAGGAGAGAUAAGGCCAUGGCAGUGAACUGCAUGGAUUCUUUGCAUCCCUGUUUGCUAUAAACUAAAGGAUGUUCCCUUGUUGGAAACUUUCUUUAUACAGCAUAAAUAGGAGAGAUUACUGAAAAUUAUCUACCAGUAGGUUUCUAAGCUAAGCAGUAACAAUUUCAAAGAACAACCAAAACUAGAUUUAGUAUGCAUGGAAAAGGGAAAGUAAAGAAGAGAGCUCUCUAAAAUCAUGAGUAGUAAAGACAGGUCAAAUAGGGAGUGGGAGUUUCUGUAUUAUGAAAGGCGGUGAACAAGGAUGCAUCAAAUCAUUAGCUGAUUCAAAACAAAUAAAACCAGAAGUAUUUCCUCAUAUAGCAUGUUGGUAACUUUGAAUUUCCUUGCCACAAAAUGUUGUGGUUUACAGAAUUUGAUAUGAGUUAAAGAUCCUUUGGACAAACUCAUCCAUCAGGAUCUAUUAAAUAGAAAAACUCUACCUCUGACUUUGGAAGUCAUAUCACUAGAAGCUGGGAAUAUAAGGCAGGUAGCUAUCACUGCAUGCUUGUCAUUUUAUAAUAACCUUUAGUAAUCAUCCUCUACUUUUCACCACUUUUGGAGCCAGGACACUGGACUAGAUGGAUCUUUUUUAGACUGAGCUGGGACAACCCUUCUUACAUCCUGCUUUUAAGUAGCUCCUGCAGUUUGUGGAGAGCCUUCUGUGGAUUCAACCUGGACAACAGGAGUCAGAUAAAGGAGUCCAAACAGAAUUAAGACUGAAAAUACUAGGAAUAGGUAACUUAGAGAGCGGGAUCAGCAAGUAAUGUAAAGAAAAGAUAAAGCAGAAUUAAACCUGCAUGUAGUCCCUAACUCUUAAAGUAAAAACUGGCAGCACACAUGAGAUGACAGAAAAUAAUUCUUCAUCCCUGUAAAAGAAAAAAAUACUGUCUUCCUCCCAGCAGGUGAAAUGACAAGAAAAUUGCAGUGUGUCCUUAAACUGAAAGAAGCUUAAUUCUCAGCUCAAAUC